rnacentral:lncRNA from 1 species
GAAGUCCCUACACAAGAUUUAUGGUGUUAGCAAAGUCUAUAAAGAGAUAUAUAUAAUGGUAAAAUUUUUACGAAGACAAAAACUAACCCCGUUGCGCAUCCGAUACGCCUUCAACUCGACAGAAUCGCCUACAUUCGAGGGCAUCCCAAAGUCGAAAAAGCUGUUGAGAUCGAGGGCGAAAUUGUUGAAUCCCAGGGGAUCAGUUUAAUCAGAGCCACUCCAGCUGGCCUGGCCAUCAAGGAAGUUACAGAAUAACUCAUCCGACGGAUACUCCAGCCUAUCGACAUCACCAUUGUCAUAGUCUUCUACAACAAUUAGCUUGUUCUUACGAGAUCUUGACCUCUCCCUUUCACCAGGAAUGUCAUAGGGAACAAACUCCUCCAUAUCCGUUUCC